rnacentral:rRNA from 1 species
AUUGAACGCUGGCGGCAGGCCUAACACAUGCAAGUCGAGCGGAUGAAGGGAGCUUGCUCCUGGAUUCAGCGGCGGACGGGUGAGUAAUGCCUAGGAAUCUGCCUGGUAGUGGGGGAUAACGUCCGGAAACGGGCGCUAAUACCGCAUACGUCCUGAGGGAGAAAGUGGGGGAUCUUCGGACCUCACGCUAUCAGCUUAGCCUAGGUCGGAUUAGCUAGUUGGUGGGGUAAAGGCCUACCAAGGCGACGAUCCGUAACUGGUCUGAGAGGAUGAUCAGUCACACUGGAACUGAGACACGGUCCAGACUCCUACGGGAGGCAGCAGUGGGGAAUAUUGGACAAUGGGCGAAAGCCUGAUCCAGCCAUGCCGCGUGUGUGAAGAAGGUCUUCGGAUUGUAAAGCACUUUAAGUUGGGAGGAAGGGCAGUAAGUUAAUACCUUGCUGUUUUGACGUUACCAACAGAAUAAGCACCGGCUAACUUCGUG